rnacentral:ncRNA from 1 species
CACCGUGAGGUGGAGUCUGAAAGAAGUCGGAUGUAGUGGCUGAAAAGUGCCAUUACGGUCAAAACCUCGGUCUGACGAACAGAAAUCGCAUAUAAGGCAUUGCAAAGCGGACGAGUUUGCGAAACAAAACGAAGUCCGAUACUGCCCGAACUUUGUAAUGUAAAUGCGGCAGAUAUAUGAGGCGAAGGUG